rnacentral:rRNA from 1 species
GAUGAACGCUGGCGGCGUGCCUAAUACAUGCAAGUCGAGCGAACAGACGAGGAGCUUGCUCCUCUGACGUUAGCGGCGGACGGGUGAGUAACACGUGGAUAACCUACCUAUAAGACUGGGAUAACUUCGGGAAACCGGAGCUAAUACCGGAUAAUAUAUUGAACCGCAUGGUUCAAUAGUGAAAGACGGUUUUGCUGUCACUUAUAGAUGGAUCCGCGCCGCAUUAGCUAGUUGGUAAGGUAACGGCUUACCAAGGCAACGAUGCGUAGCCGACCUGAGAGGGUGAUCGGCCACACUGGAACUGAGACACGGUCCAGACUCCUACGGGAGGCAGCAGUAGGGAAUCUUCCGCAAUGGGCGAAAGCUUGACGGAGCAACGCCGCGUGAGUGAUGAAGGUCUUCGGAUCGUAAAACUCUGUUAUUAGGGAAGAACAAAUGUGGAAGUAACUAUGCACGUCUUGACGGUACCUAAUCAGAAAGCCACGGCUAACUACGUG